AUUGAACGCUGGCGGCAGGCCUAACACAUGCAAGUCGAACGAGGGGCGGACGGGUGAGGAAUGUCUGGGAAACUGCCUGAUGGAGGGGGAUAACUACUGGAAACGGUAGCUAAUACCGCAUACUAUGAGAUGUGCCCAUAUGGGAUUAGCUGGUUGGUGGGGUAACGGCUCACCAAGGCGACGAUCCCUAGCUGGUCUGAGAGGAUGACCAGCCCAACUGGAACUGUGACACGGUCCAGACUCCUACGGGAGGCAGCAGUGGGCAUGAUUGCACAAUGGGCGCAAGCCUUAUGCAGCCAUGCCGCGUGUAUGAAGAAGGCCUUCGGGUUGUACAGUACUUUCAGCGGGGAGGCGUUACCCGCAGAAGAAGCACCGGCUAACUCCGUGCCAGCAGCCGCGGUAAUUC
rnacentral:rRNA from 1 species